rnacentral:SRP_RNA from 1 species
CCAUACCAGCCGGGGAGUUAGCGGUGCCCUGUAACCUGCAAUCCGCUAUAGCAGGGGUGCAUUCCUUCGCCGAGGGCGGUAGCCUUGCGGCCGCGCCGGGCGCGGAGCGUUGACGAACGGGUCCCGCGCAAUCGGCGGCUGUGAACCAUGUCAGGCGGGGAACCGAGCAGCAUUAAGCAGUUAUGCCGAUGUGUUGCGGGGUCGCCUGUUCCGAGCCGAGCGCACGGCUUCCGCGCAGGGCUCUCCGUUCGAGGGAAGGUGUAUGG